rnacentral:rRNA from 1 species
GCUUGUCUCAAAGAUUAAGCCAUGCAGGUGUAUGUAUACACAACUUUAUACUGUGAAACUGCGAAUGGCUCAUUAAAUCAGUUACAGUUUAUUUGAUAGUACCUUACUACUUGGAUAACCGUAGUAAUUCUAGAGCUAAUACAUGCGCCAAGUCCCGUCUUACGUCGGGAUGUAUUUAUUAGAUUUCAAUCAACACUUUUUGCUGACUCAUGAUAACUUAGCGGAUCGCAGAGGCCUCGCGCCGGCGACAAAUCAUUCAAGUUUCUGCCCUAUCAGCUUUCGAUGGUAGUGUAUUGGACUACCAUGGCAUUCACGGGUAACGGAGGAUUAGGGUUCGAUUCCGGAGAGGGAGCCUGAGAAAUGGCUACCACAUCCAAGGAAGGCAGCAGG